AGCGAACGCUGGCGGCAGGCCUAACACAUGCAAGUCGAACGAAGUCUUCGGACUUAGUGGCGGACGGGUGAGUAACACGUGGGAACGUGCCUUUAGGUUCGGACUAACUCAGGGAAACUUGUGCUAAUACCGAAUGUGCCCUUCGGGGGAAAGAUUUAUCGCCUUUAGAGCGGCCCGCGUCUGAUUACCUAGUUGGUGAGGUAAAGGCUCACCAAGGCGACGAUCAGUAGCUGGUCUGAGGGGAUGAUCAGCCACAUUGGGACUGAGACACGGCCCAAACUCCUACGGGAGGCAGCAGUGGGGAAUCUUGCGCAAUGGGCGAAAGCCUGACGCAGCCAUGCCGCGUGAAUGAUGAAGGUCUUAGGAUUGUAAAAUUCUUUCACCGGGGACGAUAAUGACGGUACCCGGAGAAGAAGCCCCGGCUAACUUCGUGCCAGCCGCCGCCGUAACAC
rnacentral:rRNA from 1 species